GGGCGCAGCGGCUCACGCCUGUAAUCCCAGCACUUUGGGAGGCGAAGGCAGGCAGAUCACCUGAGGUCGGGAGUUCGAGACCAGUCUGACCAACAUGGUGAAACUCCAUCUCUACUAAAAAUACAAAAUUAGCCAGGCGUGGUGGUGCAUGCCUGUAAUCCCCGCUACUCGGGAGGCUGAGGAAGGAGAAUCACUUGAACCGGGAAGGUGGAGGUUGCAGUGUGCCAAGAUCGCGCCAUGGCACUCCAGCCUAGGCAACGAGGGUGAACCAGGUCCAGGAAGAAGGUGCAAAGACAGCAUUCCAGGUAAAAGAAACAGCUUGAACAAAAAGUGUGUAGGGGAACCGCAAGCGGUCUUGAGUGCUGAGGGUACAAUCAUCCUUGGGGAAGUACUAGAAGAAAGAAUGAUAAACAGAGGCCAGUUUGUUAAAAACACUCAAAAUUAAAGCUAGGAGUUUGGACUUGUGGCAGGAAUGAAAUCCUUAGACCUGUGCUGUCCAAUAUGGUAGCCACCAGGCACAUGCAGCCACUGAGCACUUGAAAUGUGGAUAGUCUGAAUUGAGAUGUGCCAUAAGUGUAAAAUAUGCACCAAAUUUCAAAGGCUAGAAAAAAAGAAUGUAAAAUAUCUUAUUAUUUUAUAUUGAUUACGUGCUAAAAUAACCAUAUUUGGGAUAUACUGGAUUUUAAAAAUAUAUCACUAAUUUCAUCUGUUUCUUUUUACUUUUAGAAAUCACAUAUGUGACUU
rnacentral:lncRNA from 1 species